AUUGAACGCUGGCGGCAUGCUUUACACAUGCAAGUCGAACGGUAACAGGCCUUCGGGUGCUGUCGAACGGUGAACGGGUGCGUAAUGCAACCGAACGUACCCAGAGCUGAGGGGUAACGGAGCGAAAGCUGUGCUCAUACCGCAUGUGAUCUGAGGUUGAAAGCGGGGGACCGAGAAGCAAUGUUUAGCUUCGCGCCUUUCUAGUGGCCGAUUCCGCAUUAGCUAGUUGGGGCGGUAACGGCCUACCAAGGCAACGAUGCGUAGCUGAUCUGAGAGGACGAUCGGCCACACUGGGACUGAGACACGGCCCAGACUCCUACGGGAGGCAGCAGUAGGGAAUCUUCCGCAAUGGGCGAAAGCCUGAAGGAGCAACGCCGCGUGAGUGAAGAAGGUCUUCGGAUCGUAAAACUCUGUUAUCAGGGAAGAAAAAAUGUGUAAGUAAAUAUGCACGUCUUGACGGUACCUGCACAAAAAGCCACGGCUAACUACGUG
rnacentral:rRNA from 1 species